UACGUAGGGUGCAAGCGUUAAUCGGAAUUACUGGGCGUAAAGCGUGCACAGGCGGCUUUGCCAGACAGAUGUGAAAUCCCCGGGCUUAACCUGGGAACUGCAUUUGUGACUGCAUGGCUGGAGUGCGGCAGAGGGGGAUGGAAUUCCGCGUGUAGCAGUGAAAUGCGUAGAUAUGCGGAGGAACACCGAUGGCGAAGGCAAUCCCCUGGGCCUGCACUGACGCUCAUGCACGAAAGCGUGGGGAGCAAACAGG
rnacentral:rRNA from 1 species